rfam:Ipomoea nil DNA, scaffold: scaffold0688, cultivar: Tokyo-kokei standard.
AUACUUACCUGGACGGGGUCAAUGGGUGACCAGCAAGGCCCAUGGCCUAGGUUGAUGACUUCCAUUGCACUUUGGAAGGGUGUUAACCUAAGGUCUACCUUAUAGGUGGAGCCUACGUCAUAAUUUGUGGUAGAGGGGGCCUGCGUUCGCGCGGCCCCUAC